AAAACUUUCAACAACGGAUCUCUUGGUUCUGGCAUCGAUGAAGAACGCAGCAAAAUGCGAUAAGUAAUGUGAAUUGCAGAAUUCAGUGAAUCAUCGAAUCUUUGAACGCACAUUGCGCCCGCCAGCAUUCUGGCGGGCAUGCCUGUUCGAGCGUCAUUUCAACCCUCGACUUCACGUCUUUACGGACGAGAAGCCGGUGUUGGGG
rnacentral:rRNA from 1 species